rnacentral:lncRNA from 1 species
AGUCCUUGAUGUCCUACCAAGGAAGACGUCCUCACAUCUUGCAGCAGGAACCCAUUGAUACGGCGCCCACCUUGACUUCCGAAUGGGACAGCGCAUCCUCAGAAGCAACGGUGAUGGCGGUGAUGGCGCCUGCAUCACACAUCGAAGACGCUUGUGCUGAUAGCUCAAGCCCUUGAAAACCCAGCCAAGGUCAGUGUCGUAUCCUCCAGGAAUCCUGGCCGGCAAGAUGUGCUGGAAGUUGCUGCCGCCACCAGAGCCACCUCUGUUGCCGGCCGCCCCAUCCUUGGACCUUCGCCAAGCCAGCCCAGCCAGUCCUCCGAGGGCCGCGACUCCCGCCGUCACUAGUCCCGCUGCUGACCAGCAGCGGCCCCGCACAGGUGCGGUCACCUGUGUCACACGGAUGCUCCUCGGGGCCACGUGGACAUUUCCAGCCCAGGCCGCAGGGGGGCGCUGGCCCAGAGCCUCUGCGCAUGUGCAGCCCCUCCCGAGGCCCACUCGGGGAGGAGGCCGCGCGGGUCUCUGCUGCAGAGAUCCUGAAGGGAUGGAACAGGAAGAGCAGGCUGCUGCCGCGGGCCACGACGGAGAAGGAAUUUCAGGGGAGAAGAAAUUAAGGGAGUCUUGUUCUGAGAGCACCAUUCAGACCUUCUUUCAGGCUUAUUUUAACAAACAAAUCAAACCACACCUCGUUAAAGUUCUGAACAUUUCCCAUUGCAAGCAAGGAGGAGCUCUGAAGAGGCCUGACCAGAGGGAAAGAGCAGCCAAAACACAACAGCAGAGUGCACACAGUGUACAACAGAAACACUUCCUGAAGUUUCAGGCCCUGGAUAAUGUAUGAUCCCUUUUUAAUAUAGCAUUACUCUUGGGUACAGGAAACAUAAGAAACUUUCAAAAUAACCAAAGACAGAAACUUAGGCAAAAUAACAAGAUGGAGGAAGAGCAAGAUGGCGGAAGAGUAGGGUCUCCAAAUCACCUGUCUCCACCAAAUUACCUAGAAAACCUUCCAAUCAUCCUGAAAAUCUAUGAAUUCGGCCUGAGAAUUAAAGAGAGAACACCUGGAAUGCUACAGUGAGAAGAGUUCGCGCAUCUAUCAAGGUAGGAAGACGGGGAAAAAGAAGUAAAGAA